AUGGGUGGUCUAAAGUCAAGCAGGAUAUAAAAGCUCUCAUCCAACAGCAGUUCAGCAGCAAGGAUUAUCAGUGGACCAACUAGUAGGUUGUGUGAUCAAGACAAGAAAUCUUCUCGCUGAAAAUGAAGUCCUUUAUUCUUCUCAUUAGUGUGAUUGCUAUAGCAACCAUUGUGUCUGCCGCACCAUCUUCCAGUGGUAUCAAUCAAGCUAUGGAGGAAUCUUACAAAACGAUGUGCUGUGACCUAAAGCUGCCAUGCUGUCAUUUCAGUAAUCAGAAUAGAGUGGUGGAAAAUCAAGGCUCGAAUGUGAUUAUCCAGCGUCGAGUGUAUCUUUGCUGUAAAUACAAUAUGUGGUGUUGCAUACCAAAGGUGGAAAAUCAAGACGCUGGUGCUAUGUGGGGCUGAUGGAGACAUAAUUUACGAGACAGAGUUGUAUGUAUAAUAGUUAAGUUAGAAUAUUAUAGCAUUUAGAACCCUCAAAGUUUUGUUAACAGUUUUGUAGAACAUAUUUUUCUGUAAUAGUUUUCUACAGCUGAUUUGUAAUGAAAGCAGACAUUCAUCAUG